AGCAACUCUAUAAAGCUUGUCAGCAGAUAGAAACAUGAAGUGCUUUGAAAUCUCGUGUUCGAAGGCUGCGUUGACUCGGACAGUGCACCAACCAUCACCAACACCAGCCAAAAAACUUCAUGCUGAAUUUCGCUUUGGAUUCUCCACAGACCGGACUUUAAUUUCCAAAUAAACUUUGGACCACUGAGAAACAGUUAUUCUUCUCUUUAGCCCAGUAGAUGUCACUGCAGUUCCAUCACCCACCAGGCGAGCUGACGGAUUGCAAUGCAUCGUGGGACGUAGACACCCUCAGGUGACGAUAGCAGUGACGAAAGGGACUGGAGGGGAGGAGAGAGGUGUGGAAAUGAUAUAAUGAGGGGAGGAAGAGGACUGAUAAAAGGAAAAAGAGAGGAGACAGUCCGGUAGAAACAUUUCAUCCUCACAGGAAAAGACCCAACCCUCUCUUCUUCCAGCAGCAAGUCAUUAACUUCUGUCCCAGCCACAAACAGGAAAAAAAGAGUUGGCAUUUGGGAGAGGCUCUGGCUCUGGUUCUCAGCAUCACCAGUGGGUGGGGCUGCUCCUGCCUCAUGGGUCCAGUGGGUACACCUGUUCCUCUCUACUCAUUACUUCUCUGGAUUUAAGGACCGGCUGGAACCUCCAUUCUCGUCCAGAUUGUUGACGCCUGUGUGGGAGUAAUCAGGCUCAGUUACUAUGAUCUUAUCACUCUUUUGCAGUUCCCUGACUGCUCUCUCAGCCUAUCUCCUAGUUAUUCUUCUGGUUUGAUUCCUGGCUGGACCCUGCAAACAAAGAAAUAUUUUAUUUACUUGCCUGUCCACUCUUCACCAAUCUCACCCUCUGGAAAUCCUUGCGUGUCUCCCCCAUCAGCAGCUACAUGAAGAGAUUCAAGUAAGAACACAAAUCUGCUCUCAAAUUGUAUAACAGCGGCAAAUCACAUUAGUUCUUUACUAACCUGUCCUCUCCACUCUGGCAGUCCUCUGGUGAAAUGCUGCCCAGUUCCUGAAAAGACACUCUUACAACAGUAAUGCUUGCCUGCCUCAAAGCUCUUGUGUUCGAGUUCCUUGCUGCAGAUAAUAAAAUUUGCAAACCUGCCUUUGUCUCUGGGGUCUUUCAGCUGAAUUGAAUAACCCAACAUGUGUCCUUUUGCUGCCUAGAUACUUACACUUAAUGUAUGUUUACCUGCAAAUGUACACUGCUU